CGCUCCGCGGGUGGCUCACUCCAGUCUCCACUGCCGGACGACAGGCGUGCCUGGCCGCCCGUGGGCCUCUCUUGCAGCCCCUCUCGUCGCGCUCCGUGGCCGGCGCCCCUCCUCCCUCCCUCCCUCCCUCGGUGUUUCCCCAUCCGCGCUAGGUCCGCGCCCGGCCGACCAAAUUCUGGACCGCCGCAAAAUCCCACGUGCCGCUCCCGUUCCUCGCCUUCCUCCACCUUGCUCUCCGACACGCCCUCGUCCAUCGCGAUCGUAGCGUUGCUCCUCCCCAUAAAAAUCCUCCCAGCCGUAUCACGUUGGGGAUGAACAGCUCGAGGAAAAAAUCCUCCAGCUCGACGCCUCACGGCACUCUCCUCAGGCCGUCGGCGCCUCCCUUCGCGGCCCCCAACUUCCACCGUAGGGACGAGAUCCCCCGCGCGUCGGGAUGAGACCCAGAGCCAGGAUCCCCUCCUCUGCCCGAGUGCUGCCAGCCCUCCUCCCUUCGCCAGCUCGCCGCCAGGUGCAGCAAUCGAGAAGUUCCCUCCAAUCGCCUUCCCAAGCCGAAGGGUGCCUACGAGCUGUGUCUGGAUGUACGCGCAGGAGAACCCUAUAUCGUCCAGGAUGCUCAUGCUUUCAAGCUCCAGCGGUGCUGUGCACAGUGCAGAGGAUCUCGUGCUGUUCAUGAAGCUGUCAUUGGUCAAGAGAGGAUCCCUCCGUAGUUUGUACACCACCUGGUGGGUCUUCCCAGUGAAAUCUCUCACCUAAACACUAACCAAUUGAGGCUUGUGUCCUGGUUUAGUUACAUAUUUGUCAAAUGGAUAUGUCCAUCAUCCAUAUAUUGAAUAAUUGUAUGUCUCAAAAGUGAUUGUUAGCGGUGGAAAAUUGUGGAAGAGUCGAAUUGGUAGCAAUUAUUUUGUCUGUAAAGUGGAAUGGCCAUGAAUAAUUGCAGGCAGAUAAUGGAAAUUUGUUAGUUGUUUUUGUCCUGAAUCUGUGCAUAAACCAGAUUUGUACAACGCAUUUCGCCAUUUCUUUUCAGUGAGAAAGCAAGAAGCAGAAUAAGAAUUACCUAUGGUAUAUUCAUAUAUUCAGUAAUUUUCAAAAGAAAAAAUAUAUUCAGUUAUGGUUGCAGCCGUCUGGUGUCAUGUUUGGCACUGAGAAUUAAGUCACAUUUGAUAAUCAGUUGUCUGAUUCCAUGGCCCAGAAGGUUGCGGAGUCAGUCGACAUGCACACAUGUAUCCAAGAAGAUUUAACUUGGGUAUUCAGAGCAUGUGGUUGUAAUUCAGAUGUUUCUUCAGUAGAGUAGUUUUGCUGUCGCCGUUUUAAACUCUCUGUAUAUCUAUGAGCUGGUCUACACUAUAUAUGCUGCCAUUGUUGAUAUCGCAUGAUAUUCUGGUGCUAAGUGUCUGGCAGUGCCAUCACGAGGUCUAGGUAUGCCAAAAAUAAAUAGUAUGGCAACUAAUAUGACUUGUGGCACUUAGGAAAAUCACUGAUCUAGCUCCACUACGAUGAGUCUAUGACCAAUUCCUUUUUCUUAUAUGUGAAUGGAAUAUCCUGCAAUUCUUAUUUUCAAAUGUACUGAAGUGAAUCUCCAGGUUAUUUAGGCUAAUAAGACUGAUAAAUAUUGAUAUGUAGGACCAUUUUAUUAGAUGCAGUGCCAAAGCAUGUGUUUGGUAGUUCUGCAUAUCAAUUUAUUUACAGCCUGUAAAUUGAACCAAUACCAUUUAUUACCUGUAAUGUCUCUGUUUCCCCCCCUUCUAAUAAGCAUUUUGCUUGAAUACAUUGUUUUAAAAUUCUUGUUUAUAAGGUUUUACUAAAUUUCUAAAAAUACGUGUGUGCUGCACGUGCGUCUCUGCUAGUAUAUAAAAAAAGGUUAGCAAUUUUCUAUAUGACUUAGUGUUAUCGGUCAAAACCCACCGGCGACGACAAGCAACACGAGGAGC